UACGUAGGGGGCAAGCGUUAUCCGGAUUUACUGGGUGUAAAGGGAGCGUAGACGGCAGUGCGAGUCCGGAGUGAAAGCCCGGGGCUCAACCCUGGGACUGCUCUGGAAACUGUAAAGCUGGAGUGCGGGAGGGGCAGGCGGAAUUCCUGGUGUAGCGGUGAAAUGCGUAGAUAUCAGGAGGAACACCGGCGGCGAAGGCGGCCUGCUGGACCGUAACUGACGUUGAGGCUCGAAAGCGUGGGGAGCAAACAGG
rnacentral:rRNA from 1 species